UACGUAGGGUGCGAGCGUUGUCCGGAAUUAUUGGGCGUAAAGGGCUCGUAGGCGGUUUGUCGCGUCGGGAGUGAAAACAUCCAGCUUAACUGGGUGCUUGCUUUCGAUACGGGCAGACUAGAGGUAUGCAGGGGAGAACGGAAUUCCUGGUGUAGCGGUGGAAUGCGCAGAUAUCAGGAGGAACACCGGUGGCGAAGGCGGUUCUCUGGGCAUUACCUGACGCUGAGGAGCGAAAGCAUGGGGAGCGAACAGG
rnacentral:rRNA from 1 species